rnacentral:lncRNA from 1 species
AAAAAGGUGAAACUGAUGCCCCAAGGUGAGAGUUAUUGGUGUUUAUAAUUGAUGUGUGGUGGUUUGGAGUGAUAUAAAUGGUGUUAAUGAUUGUAUAAAAAGAAAAAAAAUGAAUCUUGAAGGAAUAAGCAAUACGCCCACCAUGUGUUUAUGAAAAUGCUUGAAAGAGAUAGGGCAAAAAUAAAAGAUAUGGGUGGAUGAAAAAUUGUACUUUUAUU